rnacentral:rRNA from 1 species
UACAGAGGUCUUAAGCGUUGUUCGGAUUCAUUGGGCGUAAAGGGUGUGUAGGUGGCGCCGUAAGUCGGGUGUGAAAUUUCGGAGCUUAACUCCGAAACUGCAUUCGAUACUGCGGUGCUUGAGGACUGGAGAGGAGACUGGAAUUCAUGGUGUAGCAGUGAAAUGCGUAGAGAUCAUGAGGAAGACCAGUGGCGAAGGCGGGUCUCUGGACAGUUCCUGACACUGAGAUACGAAGGCCAGGGGAGCAAACGGG